AGCCAACACUUGGUGAGCAUAAUAAUAAAGAAAUCCCCAUCAAAAUCCUUCUGUUUAAGCAUUAGAUUUAUUUUUGCAUGGGCUGCGUCUCAAUCCACCGCAUCCGCUGAUGUCGUCCUUCUGUGGCAGAGCUGCGGUGUUGUUUGUCAGACCAGGAGACACCAACUUCUGUCUGUAUCGUCCGAAAAGUUCGGCCUUCAAGCUGAGACUCACGAACAAGUACAUUUUUCUCUAGGACGCCCACAAGUGUCUGAAAGUAGCAGCUCCAGUGUUUGACUGCAGUCUUCCAGCUUCACUGAUGCCAUCUCUGGAUCCUGCAGUGUAAACUUGGCUCCACUGUCACAAUCAGGACGCAGUGACUGUAGGUUUGGAGUGUGGAAUUUGUCAACUCUGAAUAGUAUCUCAGUCCUAAAUAGAAGUCUGAGAUCAACCUCCUCCCCUGUGCAUGCCACACCCCCUUCCAUUGUUACUGUGUGCAUGAACACAUUUUGAACAAUGGCUUCCUAAAAUGCUGUGGUGCUUACUAACACAAUAGGAAAGGUUGUGGUAGAUUUACAUAAUCAACUGGGCAUUUCAACAGUCUGACCCUCAAUAUAGUCUUGGGAAUAUAUUGAGCUCUAACAAAGGGUCGUGGAAAAGGUCUGUUGAAAUGAAUACUGCAGUGGUAUGAGAAAGCUUCCUCUCUGGUUCCAUUCCCCAAUAGUAACUGGGUCAUUGUUGAUUUGUGGUGGUAAUGCUGUCCCUGGACUUUGGCACCAUAUAAAACACUUUAAAAAUGA